GACGAGGUAGAUAGGUUGGAGGUGGAAGUGCAGCAAUGCAUGGAGCUGACCAAUACUAAUCGGUCGAGGGCUUAUCCAA
rnacentral:rRNA from 3 species